GCCCUAGUAACGGCGAGUGAAGCGGCAACAGCUCAAAUUUGAAAUCUGGCCCCCGGGUCCGAGUUGUAAUUUGUAGAGGAUGCUUUUGGUGCGGUACCUUCCGAGUGCUCUGGAACGAGACGCCAUAGAGGGUGAGAGCCCCGUCUGGUUGGACGCCAAUCCUUUGUAAAGCUCCUUCGACGAGUCGAGUAGUUUGGGAAUGCUGCUCUAAAUGGGAGGUAUAUGUCUUCUAAAGCUAAAUAUUGGCCAGAGACCGAUAGCGCACAAGUAGAGUGAUCGAAAGAUGAAAAGCACUUUGAAAAGAGAGUUAAAAAGUACGUGAAAUUGUUGAAAGGGAAGCGCUCAUGACCAGACUUGGGCUUGGUUGAUCAUCCAGGGUUCUCCCUGGUGCACUCUUCCGGCUCAGGCCAGCAUCAGUUCGCCGCGGGGGAUAAAGGCUUCGGGAACGUGGCUCCCUCGGGAGUGUUAUAGCCCGUCGUGUAAUACCCUGUGGUGGACUGAGGUUCGCGCAUUCGCAAGGAUGCUGGCGUAAUGGUCAUCAGCGACCCGUCUUGAAACACGGACCAAGGAGUCGUCUUCGUAUGCGAGUGUUCGGGUGUCAAACCCCUACGCGGAAUGAAAGUGAACGCAGGUGAGAGCUUCGGCGCAUCAUCGACCGAUCCUGAUGUUCUCGGAUGGAUUUGAGUAAGAGCAUACGGGGCCGGACCCGAAAGAAGGUGAACUAUGCCUGUAUAGGGUGAAGCCAGAGGAAACUCUGGUGGAGGCUCGCAGCGGUUCUGACGUGCAAAUCGAUCGUCAAAUAUGGGCAUGGGGGCGAAAGACUAA
rnacentral:rRNA from 1 species